AUGAGCUGAAAGGAGGAGCUGACUCCUGCUCUCACCAGGGAGAGCAGCAUGCUGAGGAGAAGGAUGUGGGGCACUGCCCUCCCUGGCUCUGCCUGGGGCCCCAGCCUGCUCUGCUGUGUCACUGUCUUUCUCCUGGGAACAAGUUCAGCAAAUCCCGGGGUCGUCCAAUCUCCAAGACACAUAAUCAAAACAAAGGGAGGAAGGUCCAUUCUCAAAUGUAUUCCGAUCUCUGGACAUGACAGUGUGAGCUGGUACCAGCAAUUUCAGGGGAAGGAACUGAAGUUCCUCAUUCAACACUAUGAAAAAAUGGAGAGAGCGAAAGGAAACAUCCCCAACCGAUUCUCAGUCCAGCAGUUCCGUAACUAUCACUCUGAGAUGAACAUGAGCACCUUGCAGCUGGAGGACUCUGCUGUGUACUUCUGUGCCAGCUCACCACAGCCUUACAGAGUGACUGGCUUUCUGUCCCUUAAUCUUCCUGUCCUUACUGAUGAUGUACUACUGAGGAGUGGGGAGAUGCCACACACCUUAGCCAAGGUCCAAAAAUGCUUCUAG